CGAAGGUGGCGAGCGUUACUCGGAAUUACUAGGCGUAAAGCGCAGGUAGGUGGUUGGAUAAGUCUGUUAUGAAAUCUCCCGGCUUAACUGGGAGGGGCUAAUGGAUACUGUCCGGCUCGAGUGUGGGAGAGGUUACUGGAAUUCCAGGUGUAGCGGUGAAAUGCGUAGAUAUCUGGAGGAACACCAAUGGCGAAAGCAGGUAACUGGCCCAAUACUGACGCUGAGCUGCGAAAGCUAGGGGAGCAAACAGGAUUAGAUACCCUGGUAGUCCUAGCCAUAAACGAUGUAGACCAGAUGUGGGGGGUAUCGACCCCCUCCGUGUCGACGCUAACGCAUUAAGUCUACCGCCUGGGGAGUACGGCCGCAAGGUUG
rnacentral:rRNA from 1 species